UAAGUAACAUGCUACUUGGGACACACCAACUACUGUAAGUAACAUGCUACUUGGGACACAGCAAAUACUGUAAGUAACAAGCUACUUUAGACAGAAGGGUGGAUAUCUCACAGUUACAAUCUCAAGGUGCUCUGAUACGUAUUAAAUCUUGUGAUUGUUAUUUGUUUUAAAAAGGUUCUAUUCAUCAGAACUAGUAGUGGGUUUGCAGUUCCUGCAUUCAAAUGGGAUCAUCCAUCGGUAAGGAAACUUUAAAUCCUUUCUAAAAUCCCUCUCCUUAUACUCGGUCCCACUGCUGGCCGUAAUUCCACUCUCAUUUUAUUACUCCUAAUGGCAAACAUGCUAAAUGCUGUGUCCCAUAUGUGCCUUACAGAGACCUCAAGCCAGAGAACAUCUUGCUGGAUGAAGAAGGCCAUUUGAAGAUUUCGGAUUUUGGCCUUGCCUGCACCAGCGUGUUUGGAAGGAAGACGGUGUGGGGGUACUAUGGGACACCAGGGUACAUUGCCCCAGAGGUUUUAUCAGAUGAGCAGUACAACAAGGGAGCUGACUGGUGGUCAUUCGGAGUCAUCCUGUAUGAAAUGGCCACCGGCUAUAUGCCCUUUCCACCAAUGGGCACCAUAGAAGAACAGGUGGAAAUGAUUUUGGAUACAAAGCCAAAAUAUCCAGAAUCCCUUCCUCCUGACUUACGUCACCUCCUAAAGCAGCUCAUGAAGAAGAAGCCCGAGCGACGCCUGGGGGUCAAUGGCCGUAUCCGGGACCACCCAUUUUUUGCAUCAGUUAAUUGGGUGGAAGUGGAGAGAAGACGGCUGGUGCCCCCUGUUAGACCAACUACAGUAAGUUGAUAACUGCAGCGUGAUAGCACUUAGUGACUUAGUACAUCUCAUCCCAUCAGGGAAUCUGCCAGAAAGCAAGUUAAUAAUAAAUGCCACCAUGGCUAAAGGGGAUAAUUGUUGUAUAACAGUAUUUAUUAUUUUCUACAGGGACCUGUAACGAGGGACAGCAAGGUCUUCAUCUCAUUCCCGGAGGAGGACCCCACUGAGACCCGAAUGCUCGCGAGGUUCGACUAUGUGAACCCGAGCUGGCUGGGGUAAUGCCCCACAGUUCCCACCAACCAGAUCCUUCCAACUGACCAUCACAGAAGCUGGGCAACAUCCUAUAAGAACAACACUGGCACCAUUCCUGCUCCAUCCUGUGACACUGGGUAAUGUAUAACAACCAAGGUGAGCGAAUAUUGUUUAUUACAAUCUUAAACUACUCCCUGCUCUGCCUUAUACCCAGUGGGGAGGUCUCCCCAUAUACACCAUCUUAUCAUGGCCAUCACCACAGAAAGCACUUACAGCUGCAUUUAUCAUCUCUCUGUGCUUUCUAUGUCAUUUCCAUCUUACGCAGCUAUUUCAUUUCAAAGUUUUAUAGUUCUAAGUUUAAAAAAAAAA